CUGCACUUCAGGCAAACUAUCCGAAAGGUUAGGACGCAAAGCCACCGGUCUGUCGACAUCUUAUGUCUAUGAUAGCGGGGUUGCCAUU
rnacentral:ncRNA from 1 species